AGAUGGGCACACCAAGCCAGAAAGCAAGAUGACCACAAACCCCGCAGCAGCCAGCCAUGAGGUAGAUCCAUGCCCAGAAAACAAGCCCCAGAGGACAUCACUGCCAUCCCGUGGACCAAAGAAAGCCACAUGGCCAAACCUAAGUCCUCCACUCCAUUGUCUGGCAUGAUCUGAGAGGCGAUCUGGCCCACACACAGUCCUCUGCCUAAGGCUUUUCCCAGGAGAGAGAGUGUGAGAGAGGGUAUACCCACGAGACUCCCCAUGUCCUUCUGUCUUUGUUGCUGAAAACUCAGUAUGCAAGUCAACCCACAGAUAGUGCUUGAGCCAGCUCGGAAUUGUCUGGACAAAAGGUGAUUAAAUUACUCGGGAAUCAA